GCUUCGGUGGUGGAUUAGUGGCGAACGGGUGAGUAACACGUGGGCAAUCUGCCCUUCACUCUGGGACAAGCCCUGGAAACGGGGUCUAAUACCGGAUAACACUCUGUCCCGCAUGGGACGGGGUUGAAAGCUCCGGCGGUGAAGGAUGAGCCCGCGGCCUAUCAGCUUGUUGGUGGGGUAAUGGCCUACCAAGGCGACGACGGGUAGCCGGCCUGAGAGGGCGACCGGCCACACUGGGACUGAGACACGGCCCAGACUCCUACGGGAGGCAGCAGUGGGGAAUAUUGCACAAUGGGCGAAAGCCUGAUGCAGCGACGCCGCGUGAGGGAUGACGGCCUUCGGGUUGUAAACCUCUUUCAGCAGGGAAGAAGCGAAAGUGACGGUACCUGCAGAAGAAGCGCCGGCUAACUACGUGCCAGCAGCCGCGGUAAUACGUAGGGCGCAAGCGUUGUCCGGAAUUAUUGGGCGUAAAGAGCUCGUAGGCGGCUUGUCACGUCGGAUGUGAAAGCCCGGGGCUUAACCCCGGGUCUGCAUUCGAUACGGGCUAGCUAGAGUGUGGUAGGGGAGAUCGGAAUUCCUGGUGUAGCGGUGAAAUGCGCAGAUAUCAGGAGGAACACCGGUGGCGAAGGCGGAUCUCUGGGCCAUUACUGACGCUGAGGAGCGAAAGCGUGGGGAGCGAACAGGAUUAGAUACCCUGGUAGUCCACGCCGUAAACGUUGGGAACUAGGUGUUGGCGACAUUCCACGUCGUCGGUGCCGCAGCUAACGCAUUAAGUUCCCCGCCUGG
rnacentral:rRNA from 1 species